rnacentral:misc_RNA from 1 species
CCGCUUGCUUGCCGCCCCGCUUAAGGGGCUACAGCACGCAACCCUUGCCUAUGUAUACCGUUUGUUAUUCCUUCGGCGGGGUAAACCCGCCGCUAGGGACCAACCAAACCCUCUGUAUUAGAACGUCAACCUUCUGAAACAAACCAAUUAUUA